rnacentral:rRNA from 1 species
UACGUAGGGGGCUAGCGUUGUCCGGAAUCAUUGGGCGUAAAGCGCGCGUAGGCGGUCAGGUAAGUCCGGUGUGAAAGUCAAAGGCUCAACCUUUGAAUGCCGCUGGAUACUGCCUGACUUGAGUCCGGAAGGGGCGAGUGGAAUUCCUGGUGUAGCGGUGAAAUGCGCAGAUAUCGGGAAGAACACCCGUGGCGAAGGCGGCUCUCUGGGACGGUACUGACGCUGAGACGCGAAAGCGUGGGGAGCGAACAGG